AAUCCGUCGACUUUCGAAAUCGUGAGG
rnacentral:tRNA from 1 species